CCCAGCAGUGCCAUCACAACACAGGGCUCGAAUGUGGACGGGAGGAGGGCCUUAGUGGACCCAGAGGCUGAGCUGGCCUCGCAGCAUUGGUGGUGGGGGAGGAUGGAUGGUCAGGACCCUGGGUCUUUGGCCCUGCAGCCUAGGCUGUGGCCCGAGGCCUCGGUCUGCCCAUCUGUGAAAUGAGGGGGAGCUGGUCCUGACUGCCUCCCAGGGGCCUCGUGAAAAGCCGCUCUGAGCUCCUUGUAGAGAGGAGGUGUGCUGGUGCCACCAUCCAGCAUUUCCUGGGGCCCACUCCAUUCUGGGUACUGUGUAAAGGAAUCCACAGCCAUCGACUUCCUUCACCCUUGCUACGUCUCUGAAAGAAUCCCUUCUGGGUCUUUGAUUCCUGGGUCAGAUGCCUCAAGAUAGCCACGUAGGAGGCCCUGUGCCACAGUGUGAGCUGUGACCACAGCCAGAGUGGCUGCAUCAGAUAGAGGCUGGGGAGGCAGGA